rnacentral:rRNA from 1 species
GUACGUGAAACCGUUCAGGGGUAAACCUGAGAAACCCGAAAGGUCGAAAGGGGAAAUUCAUUCGCGUCUCGGAUAUCGGCGAUGAGCAGCCGCGUGACGGAUGGCGUUCGCGUUGUCCGCGCCUUCUGUUUUUCGAACCGGUGACGAACGCGUGCACUUUUCCCCUAGUAGGACGUCGCGAUCCGUUGGGUGUCGGUCUACGGCUCGCGGUGGAGUCCGUGUGCGAUCGUUUCGGCGAUUCGUGCUCGAACCCGCGAUGUUCCGGCCGACUCGCUCGACGGUAUACAGAUGGCGCGAGGCCGCUACGUUAAUUAGCGUCCGACCCACGGCAAGCGCGUUCGAUGCUAAGACGGCGAUCGGACCUAGUGCCGAUUCCGUUUCCGGACGACUGUUGGCCGUGUGGAUCUCUCGGACAGACCUCGUUCGAAACGCUGAUCUGCGACGCUAUAGCUUUGGGUACUUUCAGGACCCGUCUUGAAACA